rnacentral:rRNA from 1 species
UACGUAGGGUGCAAGCGUUGUCCGGAAUUAUUGGGCGUAAAGAGCUCGUAGGCGGUUUGUCGCGUCGAAUGUGAAAACCCGGGGCUCAACUCCGGGCCUGCAUUCGAUACGGGCAGACUAGAGUUCGGUAGGGGAGACUGGAAUUCCUGGUGUAGCGGUGAAAUGCGCAGAUAUCAGGAGGAACACCGGUGGCGAAGGCGGUUCUCUGGGCAUUACCUGACGCUGAGGAGCGAAAGUGUGGGGAGCGAACAGG